GCUGUCCCUAAUUUUCCCUGAAUUUUUUUCGGGGAACUGAAACGCACUACCGGUACCUGCACGUGUUCCAAAAAAUCCCAAAUUAGGCCCAGGGCCCCUUUUUGGCCAAUAUCGCAAUUCCGGCACGGCGGCUCCGCCGUGCUCUGGCUACGGCGCCGCCGCAAGCGGCGAUGAUUUGCCUCGGUUUGGCUGUUUUCGGCCGUUUCCGACCGAAUUCGGCCACACUUGCAUCGGUCCUUGCGAUAAAACAACCCUAAGGCCCUCGGGGGGCCAAAAAAUUACGAAAAACCGAAGCUUACCGGCGGCGGUGCUCUCGGGUGUGGCGGCUCUCUGGUGAAGUUCGUGUUUUGGUGAUUCGGCUCCGAUCAACCUGUAGAGAAAAGAAUGGUGAUCACGGUGAUAUAAAAAUUGCAUCAAACGGAGCCGGGAAAGGGCCUCAUCGGAGGCAAAAACUGAGAAGGGGCGCGGCGACGCCGCUGGGUUUCGGCCGUUUGGCCGGGAUUUUAGCUCCGAUUUGGCCACAGGGGAAAUCAGCGUGGAAAAACGAGUCGGGGGUAUGAAAUUUACCUCGAUCAGCGGUCGAAAAUCUCCCCGGUGCGGCGGCGGGUGGCGGCGGCCGGCUUCUCCGGCGUUUGGGUCGUCUUCUCCGGCGAGGGCAGGCGGCUAGGGUUUUUGUGGUCAGGUGUGGGGGGUUCUAUUUAUACCUUUUUGCCUUUUGAUCUCAGCCGUCCAUUUUGAUUUAAUCUGGGUCGUCCGUUUUUGAUUGAAUCUGAGCCGUCUGUGCGAUUGCAUCUGGGCC
rnacentral:lncRNA from 1 species